rnacentral:lncRNA from 1 species
GUGAACACAAGAAGAUGUCUGUUGCAUUUUGGUUUCCAGUAAAUAUAUGGUCAGUCAUGGCAUGGCUCUGGACACUACUCAGUUUAUUGUGAUUAGGUUUUCAUUGACAUUUGUUGACAGUUCUUUGAGUGGCAAGUCAGUAGGUGCAGCAUCAAGUAUUUUCUCUUGGAAUUGCAUCCAUUCUUUCAUUGUAUCCCUAUGAGUCUGCAAAUAAAAAAUUAUUAGUAUAGGAUGUAAACAGACAUUAAUGUAUGCGAAGGCCAAAAUGUUCUUAGAAGAAAUGAAGUCUUUGAUAUUUUAAUAGGUUUAUAAUCUUUAAUAUCAUCAAAG